rnacentral:rRNA from 1 species
AUUGAACGCUGGCGGCAUGCCUUACACAUGCAAGUCGAACGGCAGCACGGGUGCUUGCACCUGGUGGCGAGUGGCGAACGGGUGAGUAAUACAUCGGAACAUGUCCUGUAGUGGGGGAUAGCCCGGCGAAAGCCGGAUUAAUACCGCAUACGAUCUACGGAUGAAAGCGGGGGACCUUCGGGCCUCGCGCUAUAGGGUUGGCCGAUGGCUGAUUAGCUAGUUGGUGGGGUAAAGGCCUACCAAGGCGACGAUCAGUAGCUGGUCUGAGAGGACGACCAGCCACACUGGGACUGAGACACGGCCCAGACUCCCACGGGAGGCAGCAGUGGGGAAUUUUGGACAAUGGGCGAAAGCCUGAUCCAGCAAUGCCGCGUGUGUGAAGAAGGCCUUCGGGUUGUAAAGCACUUUUGUCCGGAAAGAAAUCCUUGGCCCUAAUACGGUCGGGGGAUGACGGUACCGGAAGAAUAAGCACCGGCUAACUACGUG